UCGGAGUAAACUUGUCACCGGUAUCAUCUCCCAUGAUCCCAUCUCGUUUUUCACUUUCUGUAGUUGCCAAGCUCUAAGUAAGAUAUGAGACAACAAAAUACAAAUCCAUUGGACUCCUUCCUGUAGUUGACAGUCUGAAAUUCCUCCACUUUCUCUUAAAAGCAUAUGUUGAAAGACUUACAGAUCAUGCAUUCCUGUCUACCAAAAGAAGAUGUAUGUCUGAGAGAAGUAUUUUAUAAAAUUCAAAGCAACAACAGAUAAGAACACCAGCUCAUAACCUGGAGGCAUG
rnacentral:lncRNA from 1 species